UGAGUUAUGCUUACAAAGAGCACAGAUAAAAUAGUGUUUAAUCAGAGCUGCUGCUUCCCUUUGCAAGCAAAAGAUAAUGAAAUAACUAUCCUGCAGUAUGAAAGCAUUGAGUUAUCUCAUCCUAAUGUGAGUGCAUGCCUGAAUCACCUUCCUGUCUUUGACUUGCUUUAACACUUGGAUUUAAAAAAAGUACUUCUGUCCUUAAAGGAGAAGACUGAAUGACUUUAAAAAGCAAAGACUUCAGAGAGACAGCAUGAAACCAUGCAUGGAAAUAAAUACACAGCUGUAGUCUGGAUGGUCAUUAAUGAUGCACAGCCUGUGAGGAUGUAUGGGAGUAACAUUCUUCAUUUUGAAAGAGUCAGAGGAAAAAGGCCACUAGCAAUUAUGCCACACAGUGCCAUGAAAUAUAUUAGACCCUUUCUUAAUGCUGGAUAAAAUGAGACCGGCUUAGAAAAGCAGAGACACUGUCAUACCCAAAGGAUUCUCCAAAACAAGAGCCCUGGCUUUCCAAGCACCAAAUUUCCAGAGCAAUCUGUCAAGGAAUUUAUCAUAUAAAACAGCUAGAAGGUCUGGGAUCAGAGACAUUUGUCCUUUCAAAGGUCAUAAAGUAUUGUCAGUGGAGCAUUUUCCUGCUCCCUAAAUUAUGAGCAACAGACCUCUUCUGUGGCUGAGUUGGUUGGACCUUGAUUUUUGUUUGUUGAGAGAGUGAGGAUCAUUUAUGGCCCAUGGAAAUUCCCUACCAGGUUCUCUGCAGUGGGUCUGUGCCCCUGGGGUUCCUGCUGCAAACCAUUCUGAAGAUGUUGCAAUGUUUCAGGACUCUUCAGAUCACCAACUCCAGAAGAAUUUCAGGAAGAUGUCAGGAUUGAGGGAGCCAGGUUGGGAUUCCACCUGUACAAAAGCAACAUAAGCCAGUUAUAAAAGGCUCUAGGCUUGUGCUACCAUAUUUUGAGUGCUGUUGUAGUACCUGGGACAUCUCUGAAACUUCAGGGAUAACAUAAGGCCUCUGUCUUUCCUAAGUAUUAGACUGUGCCAUCUAAAUAAAAUUUUGAGAGUCAUGAAGGGAGAGGGAAUGUUCAUGCUCCUUUUGAACGUAAUUUAGCUGUUAUUAUGAACCAUGUCCUGUAACUGUCCCCACUCUCUGUUAAUGUUUAUAGAAAGCCUAGGAACAUUAGCUUUUGCCUUUGGGCUUCUCAUCAAGAUGUCUAAAGCAUGUAAAUCAUUUUAUAGAAUCAACAACUGAGCUGCGAGGAAAUUUGGACCACCUGAUAAGGUCCCAAAAUAAAGUUAUGCAAUUUCUGUAGUGGAUUCAGCAGACCUAAACAUGAAAUACAUUCAUAGGCAAAUCUUCCCAGAGAGAAUCUCUAGGUUAGAUUUUGAUUGUAUUUAUCUUAGUUAAUUUACAGAUGCCUUUAAGAAGGGUGCUUUUAAUGUCUCUGUACUCCCACACAUCCAUGGCUAUUUUCAGAACUACCCAGGAUGCAUUUGCAUUGAUUACAGUGCCCAAACAAGAGCCUGCCUUGAUACUAAUGCAGAGCAGCUGGGUUUCAGGACCUGGACUACACACUGCUACAGCAGCAGCCUGAACUGCACCUGCCCUGCGGCAAAAGCAGGAAGGGAUGUUUAGAUUUCCUGAUUCUGGCCAGUGGAUAUUGUAAACCAGAAUUUAUGGGAUGUACAGUGAGCAGCAUGGCCCUCAAACUGGGCUGGAACAGGCAGGUUUCAGCAGCAGAUACUCAGACUUGCCUACAGGAUGCAUUUGGCCAUGAUUGUACAGCCACAACGUGGUUCAGGGAAGAAACCCUCAGUGUUCCCAGCCUCCAGUUUAACAGAACCUGACUAUCUCCACAGAAUUCAGAAGUCCCCUGGAUGGACUUGGUGGCUUAGUGUUGGUCAGUGUCACCAGCUGAGUUAGGAACCUUCAUUUGCUGGUGGAGUUGCUUACCAGUGCCUCUUCUGGAUGUGCAUUUUAAUUCUGGAUGUCUAGAAAGUCCUCAGUAUCACCUCAGAAAUGUGCCAAAUAGACAUUAAUUUUCAAAAAGUUCAAAUAUGAGAAGCAAUUAUGUCAAAUAAGUUUCUUGGCUGACAGAAGCUGAUGUUAUCAUUUAAAAUGAUCUGGCAAAGCUGCAGUGUUAAUGAUAUGAAAACUAAAUAAGCACAGGAGAUAAUGCAAAGAUGCUGAGUUGGGCAGGAAAUUAUUUCUAAUAUGA